rnacentral:rRNA from 1 species
GAUGAACGCUGGCGGCGUGCCUAAUACAUGCAAGUCGAGCGAACAGAUGAGGAGCUUGCUCCUCAGACGUUAGCGGCGGACGGGUGAGUAACACGUGGAUAACCUACCUAUAAGACUGGGAUAACUUCGGGAAACCGGAGCUAAUACCGGAUAAUAUAUUGAACCGCAUGGUUCAAUAGUGAAAGACGGUUUUGCUGUCACUUAUAGAUGGAUCCGCGCCGCAUUAGCUAGUUGGUAAGGUAACGGCUUACCAAGGCAACGAUGCGUAGCCGACCUGAGAGGGUGAUCGGCCACACUGGAACUGAGACACGGUCCAGACUCCUACGGGAGGCAGCAGUAGGGAAUCUUCCGCAAAGGGCGAAAGCCUGACGGAGCAACGCCGCGUGAGUGAUGAAGGUCUUCGGAUCGUAAAACUCUGUUAUUAGGGAAGAACAAAUGUGUAAGUAACUAUGCACGUCUUGACGGUACCUAAUCAGAAAGCCACGGCUAACUACGUG